rnacentral:rRNA from 1 species
GACGAACGCUGGCGGCGUGCUUAACACAUGCAAGUCGAGCGGUAAGGCCCUUUCGGGGGUACACGAGCGGCGAACGGGUGAGUAACACGUGGGUGACCUGCCCUCAGCUCUGGGAUAAGCCUGGGAAACCGGGUCUAAUACUGGAUAUGACUCCAUGACGCAUGUUGUGGGGUGGAAAGCCUUGUGCGGCUGAGGAUGGGCCCGCGGCCUAUCAGCUUGUUGGUGGGGUGAUGGCCUACCAAGGCGACGACGGGUAGCCGGCCUGAGAGGGCGACCGGCCACACUGGGACUGAGACACGGCCCAGACUCCGUACGGGAGGCAGCGAGUGGGGAAUCUUGCGCAAGUGGGCGAAAGCCUGACGCAGCGACGCCGCGUGAGGGAUGACGGCCU